UGAUCCUGGCUCAGGACGAACGCUGGCGGCGUGCCUAAUACAUGCAAGUAGAACGCUGAAGGAGGAGCUUGCUUCUCUGGAUGAGUUGCGAACGGGUGAGUAACGCGUAGGUAACCUGCCUGGUAGCGGGGGAUAACUAUUGGAAACGAUAGCUAAUACCGCAUAACAGUAGAUAUCGCAUGAUAGCUGCUUGAAAGGUGCAAUUGCAUCACUACCAGAUGG
rnacentral:rRNA from 1 species